UACGAGGGGUGCAAGCGUUAAUCGGAAUUACUGGGCGUAAAGCGCGCGUAGGCGGCUUGAUAAGUCGGAUGUGAAAUCCCUGGGCUCAACCUGGGAGCUGCAUUCGAUACUGGCGAACUUGAGUAUGAUAGAGGGGGGUGGAAUUCCAGGUGUAGCGGUGAAAUGCGUAGAUAUCUGGAGGAACAUCAGUGGCGAAGGCGGCCCCCUGGAUCAAUACUGACGCUGAGGUGCGAAAGCGUGGGGAGCAAACAGGAUUAGAUACCCUAGUAGU
rnacentral:rRNA from 1 species